GGGUGAUUAGCUCAGUUGGUUAGAGCGCUACGUUGACAUCGUAGAGGUCGGAGAUUCGAGUUCUCUAUCACCCACCA
rnacentral:tRNA from 1 species